rnacentral:tRNA from 1 species
GCCUUGGUGGUUCAAGGGCAGAAUUCUCACCUUCCGUGUGGGAGACCCGGGUUUGAUUCCCCGCCAGUGCA